AUGGCGCGGUCUGGGUUUGAUUUUGACAAAUUUGACCUGUUCUGGACCCAGCAGAGACCCGGGCAGGGGCUGGAAUUCACCGCCAACAUCGACUACCGCAGUGCGGGUUACACCUUCUACGCGCCGUCGGAGUGCGGGGGGGACCUCCAGCCCCCCGGGGGGUCUCUGACGUUUUUGUGCCACGCCUCUGGGUUCACUUUCAGGAGCUAUGGAAUGUUCUGGAUGCGCCAGAGACCCGGACAGACACUGGAAUACAUCGCCAGUAUCAGCAGCAGCGGUGGCAGCACCAACUACGCGCCGUCGUUCAAGGGCCGGGUCACGAUCUCCAGGGACAACGGGCAGAGCUCGGUGACGCUGACCAUGAACCACCUCAAGGACGAGGAUUCCGCCACCUAUUUCUGUGCCAAACGUGCUACUGGUGGUUAUGGUGAUGCUGCUGCUUAUAGUGACGAUGGCCGUGGUGGAUCCAUCCCAAUCUCCGUGUCCUCACCUGUCUGCAAACUGAGACUCUUCCUUCAAAUUAGACCCGGACAGGGGCUGGAAUUCAACGCCAGCAUCAACAGCGAUGGUUCCAGCACCAGGUACACAGAUUUGGUCCAGGGCCGGUUCAUGAUCUUCAGGGACAACGGCAGAGCUCGGUGA